AGUGAACGCUGGCGGUAGGCCUAACACAUGCAAGUCGAACGGCAGCACAGUAAGAGCUUGCUCUUACGGGUGGCGAGUGGCGGACGGGUGAGGAAUACAUCGGAGUCUACUUUUUCGUGGGGGAUAACGUAGGGAAACUUACGCUAAUACCGCAUACGACCUACGGGUGAAAGCAGGGGAUCUUCGGACCUUGCGCGAUUGAAUGAGCCGAUGUCGGAUUAGCUAGUUGGCGGGGUAAAGGCCCACCAAGGCGACGAUCCGUAGCUGGUCUGAGAGGAUGAUCGGCCACACUAGAACUGAGACACGGUCCAGACUCCUACGGGAGGCCGCAGUGGGGAAUAUUGGACAAUGGGCGCAAGCCUGAUCCAGCCAUACCGCGUGGGUGAAGAAGGCCUUCGGGUUGUAAAGCCCUUUUGUUGGGAAAGAAAAGCAGCAGGUUAAUACCCCGCUGUUCUGACGGUACCCAAAGAAUAAGCACCGGCUAACUUCGUG
rnacentral:rRNA from 1 species